rnacentral:tRNA from 1 species
UCCCAGGUGGCUCAGUGGUAAAGAACCUGCCUGCCAAUGCAGGAGACACAGGUUCCAUCCCUGAGUUGGGAA